AAUGAACGCUGGCGGCGUGCUUAACACAUGCAAGUCGUGCGCGAAAGCGGCUUCGGCCGCGUGUAGAGCGGCGAACGGGUGAGUAACACGUGGACAACCUGCCCAAGAGUUGGGGAUAACCUGGGGAAACUCGGGCUAAUACCGAAUACGUUUCCGGGGCUUCGGCUUCGGAAGGAAAGAUGGCCUCUACUUGUAAGCCAUCGCUCCUGGAGGGGUCCGCGCCUGAUUAGCUAGUUGGCGGGGUAACGGCCCACCAAGGCGACGAUGUCUAGCUGGUCUGAGAGGAUGAUCAGCCACACUGGGACUGAGACACGGCCCAGACUCCUACGGGAGGCAGCAGUAGGGAAUAUUGGACAAUGGGGGGAACCCUGAUCCAGCCAUGCCGCGUGAGGGAAGAAGGUCCUCUGGAUUGUAAACCUCUUUUGGCAGGAAACAAACCUGCGCUAUACGCGCAGCUGAGGGUACCUGCAGAAUAAGCACCGGCUAACUCCGUGCCAGCAGCCG
rnacentral:rRNA from 1 species